ensembl:lncRNA
GCUGUUUUUAAAUUACACCAAGUUUAUUUCGGAUUAUUCCAAGAAGAAUACAAGGCGCAGGGAACUUUAAGGAAGUCAGUGGAUAUGGAUCCUCAUUGCAAGAUUUGCUGAAACCAAGGCUCGCAAAAUAAGAUUUUAAGGACAAAAGGGAGAAAAUACAAAGAAAAAGGGACAGGAAGAUGUGUAAAAGGGACAGAAGAGAAAAAGGGAGAGAGAUGAUGUGAAAAAGGGGCAGGAAGAGAGGGACAACAGGUAAAACAAAUAAUACAUGUGUCUUAUGUUUAAAAUGUAUCUGUAUAAUUGACCUGUAUUGUGUGUUGUCUUCUCAUGUCAGCGCCACAACAUAGAGGACAGCUUCUACUGGCUUGCUGCUACCCACCUCUGCCACCUGAGCUGUGUAAAGGUAAAUCAUCUCUCACAUACACAGUCAUGCAAUUACGACUUAUCUAUUGAAAUCUGUAGGCAGCAGUGGCUCAGGAAGUGGAGCGGGUCGUCCAAUAAUCAAUGGUUUGGCGGUUCGAAUCACAGUCUCUCCCUUCGUAGUGUCUUUGGGCAAAAAAAUAAUAAUUUGAUGUAUGUGAUCCAUCGUAAGUAUUCUAUCAAAUUUCUUAAAUCUGCCACUGGGUGGUGCACGAGCUCAACUCUGGGUCAACCUACUCCGAGUUGAUUGAACCAACUCUAAAAAGCUGUUCUGAAGCCCAAAACUCAGAGUUCCCAUCUCAGGGUAAAUCAACUCAGGGUUUGUUAAACCUCCUAUUGAAAUGGACCCCAGUCCAUCGAAGAAAAAAAACAGCUGUAUUAUUGAGUAAAGAAUCAUUGUCAACGACAGCUUGAGGUUGUGUGUUCCCUGUGUGUUAUUUAUAAUAAAUAAACAUUUAUUUAUUAUAAAAGGUACACACUGUGCUUUAUUGACGACAGUAUGUGUUGGAGGAAACAUGAGAGAGUGUUAGGAGAGCGGCUCCGACCCCCAACGCAUGUGGCCAGGCAUCCAGGCCAUCAUGACCAUAAGGCAACCAACUCUACCCCCCGAAACAGUGACGCCUCCUUCCCUGACGAGCUGAGCAGCUUUUACGCUCGCGUCGACAGGGACAAUGAGGACGUGGCCUGUACAUCUCCUUGAAUGACAUGUUGCAGUAAAGUACAUUUACACCAUUUAAAGCCCUCAAAGACUCUCACACUAAACUUACCAGGUAUGAUGAUAAAUACAAAAGAGCAGUAUGAUGUAAAGACACACUGUAGAUUGCUGGUGUGAUGAUGGUGUGAUAUUUGAGCCUCUUCUCCUCUGUCUCCUCUCACAGGGAGGAGAUGAUCUGCAGGAUCCUGGUGAUCUUCAUCCUGACCUCCUGUGUCUGUGCAGGGUCAUUUGUAGUCAAUGUGACACAGAGCUGGUAUCAUGCAGAGGAGAACCACAACGUCUCACUGGAAUGGAUGUUCCCCACCAGCACGGACCACUCCACCAACUCCCUUUAUGUCUCAUGCGAGAUGUUAGUUGAUAUGAUACCAUUACUCAUGUUUCAUCUACAUAAAGGUGUUGAGUUCCCAGAGUUGCAGGACAAACGCUUUGCAGGACGAGUCCAGUGGGACAAAGACGUCCUCGGAGAAGGACAACUCAGACUUCACAUCUCCAGACUCCAGACUAAUGACUCGGGGCUGUACUGGUGUGAAGUGGACACAAGUUAUGGGAGGAACUUUAAGGAAUGUCACCUCAACGUCACCGGUAGGUUCAUUAAGUUAAAUUUACUAACACGUUCAGCAACUUCAUUCAGAUACAUUUUUUUUUUCUUUACAUGAAUAAAAAAUAUUUCUCUGGUCUCUUUGCAGCAGUGAAGGAUCGGCCUGAGACAACAAGUGAUACGAGUCUGAGAAGAAGUCCUCAGGGAAUGAUCGGCCUCUACUCUGCACUGGGACUGACCGCUGUACUGGGUUUUUAUUUAUUUUAUCUCUGCAUGGCAAAAAAUAUUAGAGAUCAACACAACAAACGAACCACAUCUGUAUCUUGGACAUCUUGGAUCUUGUAAAGUGGACGUUACAAUUUAAUUGUGUUGUUGUGCAACUGGUCAGACCGGCCGUCUGAGGAACUAGCUUUUUCCCAGAGCUGUUACAUUACAUUACAGGUCACCCUUUUGAACUCUUUCCCCCCCCUCUGGUCCCCAUUACACUACUCUAUCUGCACUGAAGACACUUUAUACCAUUUGUUUACUCUCAAUUCAAUAUGCACUUAAUAUUUGCACUAGUUUAGCAACCCCUGAUGGUUUCUGUUUAUAUCUCCACAUUUAAUGUGAAUCUGUCUGUUUUGCCUAAUUUAUUACCAAAUAGUACCAUAGGCCAUAAGACAACCUCUGUAUAGUGUUUAAUGUAUCUAUGAUCUGUAUAUACUGUUAUCUAUUAAAAUACUUUCUGUUGCACUGGUUUGAUGCCAAACUGCAUUUCGCUGCUCGCUACUUGUACAUGUGUAAUGACAAUAAAGUUGAAUCUAAUGGUU